UUAUACUUGGGUGAGAGUGGUC
rnacentral:misc_RNA from 1 species